rnacentral:rRNA from 1 species
UCUACGGGUGGCAGCAGUAGGGAAUAUUGCUCAAUGGGGGAAACCCUGAAGCAGCAACGCCGCGUGGGGGAUGAAGGUUUUCUGAUUGUAAACUCCUUUUGUUAGAGAAGAUAAUGACGGUAUCUAACGAAUCAGCACCGGCUAACUCCGUGCCAGCCGCCGCGGUCAUACGGAGGGUGCAAGCGUUACUCGGAAUCACUGGUCGUAAAUAGCGCGUAUGCGGGAUAGCAAGUCAGAUGUGAAAUCCUAUGGCUUAACCAUAGAACUGCAUUUGAAAAUGUUAUUCUGGAGUAUGGGAGAGGUAGGUGGAAUUAUUGGUGUAGGGGUAAAAUCCGUAGAGAUCAAGAGGAAUACUCAUUGCGAAGGCGACCUGCUAGAACAUAACUGACGCUGAUGCGCGAAAGCGUGGGGAGCAAACAGGAUUAGAUACCCGUGUAGUC